GUUGUUGUGAUAUAAGGGAUGUAGUACUGUUGCAGAGGGUGUGUGUUGUGAUAUAAGGGAUGUAGUACUGUUGCAGAGGGUGUGUGUUGUGAUAUAAGGGAUGUAGUACUGUUGCAGAGGGGGUGUGUUGUGUUGUAGUGAUAUAAGGGAUGUAGUACUGUUGCAGAGGGUGUGUGUUGUGAUGUAAGGGAUGUAGUACUGUUGCAGAGGGUGUGUGUUGUGAUGUAAGGGAUGUAGUACUGUUGCAGAGGGUGUGUGUUGUGUUGUAAGGGAUGUAGUACUGUUGCAGAGGGUGUGUGUUGUGUUGUAAGGGAUGUAGUACUGUUGCAGAGGGUGUGUGUUGUGAUGUAAGGGAUGUAGUACUGUUGCAGAGGGUGUGUGUUGUGUUGUAAGGGAUGUAGUACUGUUGCAGAGGGUGUGUGUUGUGAUGUAAGGGAUGUAGUACUGUUGCAGAGGGUGUGUGUUGUGUUGUAGUGAUAUAAGGGAUGUAGUACUGUUGCAGAGGGUGUGUGUUGUGUUGUAAGGGAUGUAGUACUGUUGCAGAGGGUGUGUGUUGUGUUAUAAGGGAUGUAGUACUGUUGCAGAGGGUGUGUGUUGUGAUGUAAGGGAUGUAGUACUGUUGCAGAGGGGGGGUGUUGUGUUGUAGUGAUAUAAGGGAUGUAGUACUGUUGCAGAGGGUGUGUGUUGUGAUGUAAGGGAUGUAGUACUGUUGCAGAGGGUGUGUGUUGUGUUGUAAGGGAUGUAGUACUGUUGCAGAGGGUGUGUGUUGUGAUGUAAGGGAUGUAGUACUGUUGCAGAGGGUGUGUGUUGUGAUGUAAGGGAUGUAGUACUGUUGCAGAGGGUGUGUGUUGUGUUGUAAGGGAUGUAGUACUGUUGCAGAGGGUGUGUUGUUGUGAU